GACGAACGCUGGCGGCGUGCUUAACACAUGCAAGUCGAACGGAAAGGCCUGCUUUCCCUUGUGGAUUGCGGGUACUCGAGUGGCGAACGGGUGAGUAACACGUGAGUGAUCUGCCCCCAACUUGGGUAUAAGCCUGGGAAACUGGGUCUAAUUCCCGAUAGGACUGCAGGGUGGUGCCUGUGGUGGAAAACGAUUUUCUAGUGGUUGGGGAUGAGCUCGCGGCCUAUCAGCUUGUUGGUGGGGUAAUGGCCUACCAAGGCGGCGACGGGUAGCCGGCCCGAGAGGGGGGACGGCCACAUUGGGACUGGGAUACGGCCCAGACGCCUACGGGAGGCAGCAGUGGGGAAUAUUGGACAAUGGGCGGAAGCCUGAUGCAGCGACGCCGCGUGGGGGAUGACGGGCUUCGGGUUGUAAACUCCUUUCGACCGCGAGGAAGCCACCUGGUUGGAAGGGUGGUGACGGUAGUGGUAGAAGAAGCACCGGCUAACUACGUG
rnacentral:rRNA from 1 species